GCCUGAAUAACUCAGUUGGUUAGAGCAUGAUGCUGAUAACUCUAAGGUUGCAGGUUCGAUCCCUGUAUGAGACA